GGUCCUACUUCGACCUGAUUGUGGUGGACACACAGAAGCCCUGCUUCUUUGCUGAGGGGAUGGUGCUGAGACAGGUCAACAGGGUAAUGGCAGGGGCUGAGGCCCCAUCUACCUUGACCCAUGGGCCACAAGGUGGGGAGGGACCCUGCUCCUCACGCUUGACCUGCCCUUGGGAGUUGCCUCUCUGCUACUCUGUCCCUGGAGGCCGGGAACCAGGGGACUCCUUUGGGACUCUCUGUCACCUCCUUCCUCUCAUGCCCCCAUAGUAAUCCUGGCCACUCCCAGUGCUCUGCUCUCUCUGACCAGGGUGCCCCUCUCCUCUUCUAGGAUUCAGGCAAGCUCCACGUGGGCACCUACAUGGGGCCCCACCAGCACUGUGUAGUUUACUCUGGAGGUACCAGCUCCCGCCUUGUCCCUGUGCCUCCACAGACACCCUCCCUAGACUAGGAACCCAUGUCCCCAACCUGCCCACCAGGACAGGAGGGGCUCUGAGCAAGCCUGUCCGCCCAUGGUGGGGCAGGCUCUUCGGACAUGGUGUGUGAGCUGCUCGGGGUACGGGGGAAGGAUAUCCUGUACAUUGGGGAUCACAUCUUUGGAGACAUCCUCAAGUCCAAGAAGUGGCAGGACUGGCGAACUUGCCUGGUGGUUCCUGAGCUGUUCCGGGAGCUUGGCAUCUGGAACCAAGAGAAGGGUGUGCACACCCAGCCCAGCAACUCCACCGGGUGCCUGUGGAGUGUCCUCUGACCUCCAUGGGGUCUAGCGAGGUUGUGCCUGGAGCUUGGAGGCACCGUUCCUUUUCUCCUGGGUCAUGUGGCUGUUUUUGCACCAGGCACAUGGAUGGGAGCAGUUAUGGGCUGCAAGUUAUCAACUCCACGAAGAGGGAGAUUCAGCUGAUGGCGCUAUGCAGACCUCUACACCAGCUGCCUGCCUCAACUUCCUGAACCACCCGCUCAGCUUGCUGUAUCUGGCGGUCCUGGAGCUGGUGGGUCCCUGCAGAGCCUCUCUGGCUAUCCCUGACCCUCUGCCCCAGGAGGAGCCGCUGGUCCCCAGCCCUGCCAAGAGCUUCUGA
rnacentral:lncRNA from 1 species